rnacentral:rRNA from 1 species
UACAGAGGGGGCAAGCGUUGUCCGGAAUUACUAGGCGUAAAGGGCUCGUAGGUGGCCAACUAAGUCAGACGUGAAAUCCCUCGGCUUAACCGGGGAACUGCGUCUGAUACUGGAUGGCUGGAGUAUGGGAGAGGGAUGCGGAAUUCCAGGUGUAGCGGUGAAAUGCGUAGAUAUCUGGAGGAACACCGGUGGCGAAGGCGGCAUCCUGGACCAUUACUGACGCUGAGGAGCGAAAGCCAGGGGAGCAAACGGG